AAAAAAAGUCUUUCAAUCUCUUGUCAUGUGAGAGAUUUUUCCAUAUCCCUAAUCAUUCUUGAUGGUCUGCUCUGAAUCACUUCUAAUUAUGCAAUAUUAUUUUUGAAAUCGGGUGGUCAUACCAUACAUUGUGGCUGAGAAUGCUUGAUUUACAUGUGCUACACACAAUUUUUCCAUAUUAUUCAGCAUCCCAUUUGCUCUUCUGACUGUGAUACUUCAACCUUACACUUUCCAGCAUUGUAUCUUGGUAACUCCUUGCCUUAAUGUGAUUACAGCCACUGCCGCCCUGUGCCUGCGCCCCGCUUCCUUUGCUCCUGGACAUUUCUUGCUCGACUGCUGGGGUCUCUUCACCUCUCUUCAGUAAGUGCUUUCUGACAAAGUUAGCUUCUUCCAUGGGCCUUGCAGACUCUCAUCCAUGCCACUGAAACACUUUCAUCAUCCUUCAGUACUGAAGCAGAACUUAAAAAUGAUAAACUAAGUGUCUGAUCCUGCAAACAGUUACACAUGCGAGUCAUCUUGUUGACUUCAAAGGAGCUGCUCACAUGAGUAAAGUUACAUGUCACAACACCGAGAGAGGAGGAGGAGGAAGGGAGAGAAAGGGAAAACUAAAAACCCUGAAGGAUGGUUCUCAAAAAUUCUAGCGGAACCAGGGGGAAUUCCUCGGAGAGCGGGAGCCAGCCGGCGGAGAUACGUUCUGGAUUUAUCGUGA
rnacentral:lncRNA from 1 species